rnacentral:rRNA from 1 species
UUUUAAACAUAUUCUGCUCAAUGAUUUUUAAUUAAAUAGCUGCAGUUUUUCUGUACUAAGGUAGCAUAAUAACUUGUUUUGUAAUUUAAAACUAGAAUGAAAGGUAUCAUGAAAAAUUAACUAUUUAAAAACUAAAAAGUAAAAUUUAAUAUUUAAGUUAAAAAUCUUAAAUACUAUAAAAAGACAAGAAGACCCUGUAGAAUUUUAUAAGUUAAACAAAAUCAUUAUUGCAAAAAAUAACUUAUUUAGUUGGGGAGACUGUAAAUAAUCCAAAACAUUAAUUUUUUACAAACAUAAAUAAAUGAAAUUUUUUAAAUCCCAGUUUAACGAAAUAAAAACAAAUUACCUAAGGGAUAACAGCGUAAAAUUUUUAGAAAGAUCAGAUUUAGAAAAUUUAUUACGACCUCGAUGUUGGAUUAAGUA